CAGCGCGACACCGCAGCCACGGCCACGGCCACGGCCACGGCCGACUGCCGAGCACCUGCGACGUGGCCGGGGUGCCUGAGGAGCGGAACUGCUUGCCUUAGCUGACUUUAAAUUUAAGGAGCCACAGGUGGCUAGUGGCUGCCGAAUCGCGCAGUGCAGUUUCACGCCCACAAGUAACCCCACGAAUGUAUAUGCUCUCCUGCAUCUCAAGCGGUUGAACUGUGUCAGGGAAAGAAGUGUCCUCGUUCUCAGUUCUGCAAAUCCUCAUAACCCUCGAGGGAUUACUGCCCUCAAGACAGGACAGCUGAGUGAAAAUCCCGGUCCUGGACCACGGCUGGCUUGCCGGGGUCUUGCGUUAGCUGUAAUCUGCUUUCCCUCAUCUGUCGCCCUCCGGACUGCAAACUUGAGUGGAAGGAAGGAUGCACCUGAGACCCUCCUGUUACCAAAUGUCCCCCAUGACACCUCUGUCAGGGUAUUCCUGCUGCUGCCCGAUAUCCAGGUCCAAGACAAAUCUUCAUUCCAGCAGGAAAAAAAA